rnacentral:rRNA from 1 species
UACAGAGGUCUCGAGCGUUGUUCGGAUUCAUUGGGCGUAAAGGGUGCGUAGGUGGCUAGGUAAGUCGGAUGUGAAAACCUGGGGCUCAACCCCAGGCGUGCACCCGAUACUCCCGGGCUGGAGGCAGGUAGGGGAGAUCGGAAUUCCUGGUGUAGCGGUGAAAUGCGCAGAUAUCAGGAGGAACACCGGUGGCGAAGGCGGAUCUCUGGGCCUUGCCUGACGCUGAGGCGCGAAAGCGUGGGGAGCAAACAGG